UCCAGUUUAUCACUGGCAGUCCCCUUAGAGGGUCCAGCUUGACCUGAUGACAACUAAGGGUAAUGGUUGCGCUCGUUGCGGGACUUAACCCAACACUUCACAGCACGAGCUGACGACAGCCAUGCAGCACCUGUGUUAGCCUUCGAUUGGAUACGAUCGGUCCGGCUUUCACCGAACCUACUGCUAUCAUGUCAAGCCCAGGUAAGGUUCCUCGCGUAGCCUCGAAUUAAACCACAUGCUCCACCGCUUGUGCGGGUCCCCGUCAAUUCCUUUGAGUUUCAGUCUUGCGACCGUACUCCCCAGGUGGUGGAUUUAAUGUGUUAACUGCGACACCGGGAGGAUCGACACUCCCAACAUCUAAUCCACAUCGUUUACAGCAAGGACUAC
rnacentral:misc_RNA from 1 species